GAACGCACCUUGCACCCUUUGGUAUUCCGAAGGGUACGCCCGUUUGAGUGUCAUUGUAAUCUCACUUCUACAACUUUAUUGUUGUUUGAAUGUGGACUUGGAUGUUGCCGUUUUAUCACGGCUUGUCUUAAAUGCCUGAGUGUACCCUGUUUUGCAGCGUAUCCAGUGUAAUAAACAUUUCACUAGAGUUGGUCGAAAGACCGCGUUGACUAUAUGGGCUCUAUGCUUCAAACCGUCUGCCAUGUGGACAAUUUCUUGACAAUUUGACCUCAAAUCGGGUGGGACUACCCGCUGAACUUAAG
rnacentral:misc_RNA from 1 species